rnacentral:rRNA from 1 species
ACGAACGCUGGCGGCACGCUUAACACAUGCAAGUCGAACGAGAGAAGAGGAGCUUGCUUUUCUGAUCUAGUGGCGGACGGGUGAGUAACACGUGAGCAAUCUGCCUUUCAGAGGGGGAUACCGAUUGGAAACGAUCGUUAAUACCGCAUAACAUAAUUGAACCGCAUGAUUUGAUUAUCAAAGAUUUAUCGCUGAAAGAUGAGCUCGCGUCUGAUUAGCUAGUUGGUAAGGUAACGGCUUACCAAGGCGACGAUCAGUAGCCGGACUGAGAGGUUGAUCGGCCACAUUGGGACUGAGACACGGCCCAGACUCCUACGGGAGGCAGCAGUGGGGAAUAUUGCACAAUGGAGGAAACUCUGAUGCAGCGAUGCCGCGUGAGGGAAGAAGGUUUUAGGAUUGUAAACCUCUGUCUUCAGGGACGAAAAAUGACGGUACCUGAGGAGGAAGCUCCGGCUAACUACGUGCCAGCAGCCGCGGUAAUACGUAGGGAGCGAGCGUUGUCCGGAAUUACUGGGUGUAAAGGGAGCGUAGGCGGGAUCGCAAGUCAGAUGUGAAAACUAUGGGCUUAACCCAUAAACUGCAUUUGAAACUGUGGUUCUUGAGUGAAGUAGAGGUAAGCGGAAUUCCUAGUGUAGCGGUGAAAUGCGUAGAUAUUAGGAGGAACAUCAGUGGCGAAGGCGGCUUACUGGGCUUUAACUGACGCUGAGGCUCGAAAGCGUGGGGAGCAAACAGGAUUAGAUACCCUGGUAGUCCACGCCGUAAACGAUGAUUACUAGGUGUGGGGGGACUGACCCCUUCCGUGCCGCAGCAAACGCAAUAAGUAAUCCACCUGGGGAGUACGACCGCAAGGUUGAAACUCAAAGGAAUUGACGGGGGCCCGCACAAGCAGUGGAGUAUGUGGAUUAAUUCGAAGCAACGCGAAGAACCUUACCAGGUCUUGACAUCGUAUGCAUAGCUCAGAGAUGAGUGAAAUCUCUUCGGAGACAUAUAGACAGGUGGUGCAUGGUUGUCGUCAGCUCGUGUCGUGAGAUGUUGGGUUAAGUCCCGCAACGAGCGCAACCCUUACUGUUAGUUGCUACGCAAGAGCACUCUAGCAGGACUGCCGUUGACAAAACGGAGGAAGGUGGGGAUGACGUCAAAUCAUCAUGCCCCUUAUGACCUGGGCCUUACACGUACUACAAUGGCUGUCAACAGAGGGAAGCAAAGCCGCGAGGUGGAGCAAACCCCUAAAAGCAGUCUUAGUUCGGAUUGUAGGCUGCAACCCGCCUACAUGAAGUCGGAAUUGCUAGUAAUCGCAGAUCAGCAUGCUGCGGUGAAUACGUUCCCGGGCCUUGUACACACCGCCCGUCACGCCAUGGGAGUCGGUAACACCCGAAGCCUGUAGUCUAACCGCAAGGAGGACGCAGUCGAAGGUGGGAUUGAUGACUGGGGUG